AGAAGCCAUCUCCAACCAAAGGUUGGCAUUAUUACCAAUGCUAUUGCCACUUCAAAACAAGCUCCAAGUGCCCAAAAACACUAUAAAAAAUAAUUACUUCAUAUGAGCAAUGUAAAUGUUUACAUGAAAUUUAUUUAUGAGGAGAAAUUCUGCAUACAAUGUUACUCUGAAAUAAUAACUGAUGUUAUUCAUAUCUGCCCUAAGAACAUUAAUACUUUUAUUUAUAGGACUUACCAAAUACUUACGAUUGUGGUACACAACCAAUAGCAAAACCAACUAAUCCCCUAAGUAAUAAAAUCCACAGAAAAUUUGGUGCAAAAGCACUUAAAAGAGCAUAAUAAAGUAGCAAUAUUGCACAUAAA